AGCAACUCAUUUUUGAUCGCCAGUUACUUGUAAAUGUGUUAAAAAUCAGUUUUGGGGUUAUCAAAAGUCUAUUUUGGUACUUGGGCAUAGUUCGAAUUAUACAGCUCUUUCUUGAUUAAAUUCGACUUACAGAGGUAACUGUGAUAGUAAACAGAUGCUACACCGGGUAUGAUUCACAGACAUGUUGCAACCUGUAGCCAUGGUUCCAACUUACAGAGAUUUAGACAGGAUUCCCAGAGGGAUUAAAGAUUGAAAACACACAACUAGCUAGAGCCGACUGUAUUAAACAAUAAAAAGCGAGCAACCAGACAGUACUUACUUUCUGAGUAACACAGUAACAGAAUUUGUUGAAUAAAGAGUUUCAC